GAUUGAACGCUGGCGGCAUGCCUUACACAUGCAAGUCGAACGGCAGCACGGGAGCAAUCCUGGUGGCGAGUGGCGAACGGGUGAGUAAUAUAUCGGAACGUGCCCAGUCGUGGGGGAUAACGUAGCGAAAGCUACGCUAAUACCGCAUACGAUCUACGGAUGAAAGCGGGGGAUCGCAAGACCUCGCGCGAUUGGAGCGGCCGAUAUCAGAUUAGCUAGUUGGUGGGGUAAAAGCUCACCAAGGCGACGAUCUGUAGCUGGUCUGAGAGGACGACCAGCCACACUGGAACUGAGACACGGUCCAGACUCCUACGGGAGGCAGCAGUGGGGAAUUUUGGACAAUGGGCGCAAGCCUGAUCCAGCCAUUCCGCGUGAGUGAAGAAGGCCUUCGGGUUGUAAAGCUCUUUCGCAAGGGAAGAAAACUUACCUUCUAAUAAAGGGUGAGGUUGACGGUACCUUGAUAAGAAGCACCGGCUAACUACGUG
rnacentral:rRNA from 1 species